GUAGGUGAACCUGCGGAAGGAUCAUUAUCACGUACUUUUCGUACUAACUAAACUCGUGCAUAGUCGCUUGGGUUAACUGAGUAGGGGUGAACUAAAAUCGUUGUUCGGUGGUUUUUGUCGUGAUUUUAAGAGCUUCGGCUUUUAUCUUUGCGUUUUUGAAUCGCACCGUUUAGUUCUCAAGUGCUCUUUGCGAUUCGCAAAGGUCAUUUGGCCCUAUUCGACCUACUCAAGUGGCGCUUUUUAAAAAAAU
rnacentral:misc_RNA from 1 species